GACAAAAUACCAGACAUGAUCAUCUUAAAGAAUGAAGAGUUGAUUUUGGCUCAGAGUUCUAGGGUGGUGGGACCUGGAAGCAGCUGGUCACGUGUCUGCUGCAGGGAGCAGGGAGAGAUGAAAACAGCAUCUUAGCCUUCCCAUCAGCCUGGGACCGCAGCCCAUGAGAUGACAGUGCCUCCUUUUAGGGAGGGCCUUCCUGUUUCAAAGGACCACACCUAGAUCAUCUCCCAGACAUCCCAGAGCUGACGGCCAAGAACAACUGUCACAGUUCUGUUUCCUGGUCCAUUGAAGGGAGACCCUACCUUCAAGCAAGUGGCCUGAGUCAUCUUUAGAGCGUCCGGUGCCAUGCCCGGGCCUGAACUCAGGGUGUGCUUUGUGUCAUCUUUAUGAGCUGUGUGACGCUGCUGGGUACACAGGACCAGCAGAAGGGAGACUCUCACGGUUCCUAAGAAGGCUCCCCUGAAAGACGCCGGGCGUCAUUCUAAAAGGACUUGUGGGACAGUGCUAUCCAGUCAGUCAGCAUGUGGUUCUGGUGGUCCCCUGCAGGUACCUAGGCUGGGAGGCUAUGUUGAUUUGCCUCCCUGCAGAUGGAUUUCAGAGGCCAAGCUGCUCCUUCCAGAGACUGCAUGGGACACCCCCCCCCCCCCACCAUCAUGACAGAGUCCAGGCUCAGAAUCCUGAUCUCCAAGGCAAUAAACACAGCUAAUGCUUCCUACCCUGAUGGUGUAGUAUGCCAGGGGCUCAUGAGACACUGUUUCCCCAAAGAACUCAAACAGCAAUGAAAUAUUUGAUGAUAUAGUUUCCGGAAGAUCUACUCCCGAGAGAGCCUGUCUUCGGAUGAUUGCCAGCUGCUUCUGUGCCAGGGCUGCCUUCCUUGGGGACCAUCAACAUAUGGAACUUGUUUUUAAUUUAAAAUAAAGUAGACUCCCCAGUCCCCUA